GGGUACCUAGCUUAGUGGUUAAAGCAUUCCCCUUCAUAAGUAUAUAAUACUUGAUUAUUGUAUAUUUAUGAAGGGGAAAAGCGAAGGUUCGAAUCCUUCGGUACCCA
rnacentral:tRNA from 1 species